GCCUGGAUAGCUCAGUUGGUUAGAGUGUGGUGCUGGUUAUGCCAAGGUUGCGGGUUCGAUCCCCGCACAGGACA